GAGGAAGCCUCCAGAACCCAGCCCGCCUG
rnacentral:piRNA from 1 species